CCAAAUUUCAGCCGAAGACAUUGCCCUGGGGUGAUCUUAGAUACACAACCUCAAAGACGAGUUUUCCAUCACUAGAUUAGAUGGUAAUUUGAGUAAGAGUGAUUUGAGUUCACUGCCAUGUAGAAUCACCAUGGUGCAACCAAACACAGUGAUCUCGUUACCUCCACCCACAUCACUCUUGAUCUUGCGAAGAUUACUUCAUACCGAAUACCCUUGAAAUGUAAGCGAGAACACCAUCAUCCUUGUAAAGUUAAAUUAAACUAAUGCAGUGAAAAACUGUUUCAAACCUAUAAACAAGUGAAAAAACCC
rnacentral:lncRNA from 1 species